UGGACUCAUUAUCACACAACUAAUGGGAGGCUAUGACGUGGUCAUCUCCAUUAACCAUAUCAUUUUAUAGACCUAAUAAUUUAGAGGAUUUUUAUAAUAAAAAGCUGACUCAAUCCAAAUCCUCCCACUGACUUCAUAAGUCAGGUAUCAUAGGAAAUAGAUUCAAGUCAGUGCACCUAAAUCAGUCCAACUGAUUUUCUUACAGGCAUGGGUCAAUUAGAGUCAAUCA
rnacentral:lncRNA from 1 species